rnacentral:tRNA from 1 species
GCGUCCUUAGUUCAGCUGGUAGAGCGUGGGUUUCCAAAACCUAAAGUCGUGGGUUCAAAUCCUACAGGGCGUG